UGAAAUGUUCAACAGCACCUUAUCUGUCUCAGAAGAAGAGAUCCUACUUCCUCCUGAACCCAACCUGUGUUUCCCUGUCAAAGUUUUACAAAGACCCAGAGACACCCAAAGACUCACAAACCACUUCACCCUGUCAAUAAGUGUCCCCAGAAAUUGUCUUGCCAUAACAAGUACCAUGCUAAAUUCUUCUAAUGUGUUAUAUACAACAAGCUUCACUUCAACGAAUGUAUUUUUCCUUGAAUUUCCUGACCAUUGGAAUUUUCAGAUAUGGGGAACUGGGUCUGAAUUCACUGCCUUGACAAUGAAUUUCAAUCUUAUGCUAUGUCCUUCCUUGGAGGUCAGAAGAGGCUCCUAAAAGCUGAGAGCAAUGUAGCACCAUAAAUUCCAGGACAUGAAACAGGCCCUUUUGAGCUACAUGAAAGGUUAUCCAAGGAGAAUAAGAAGCAGUCUGUCACAUGAUCCAUUCAACUCCCAGCAGAUCUGACAGCUCAGACAUCCUGCUCCUCCUCCAUGGAAGGCAAUGCACUCCCACUCACCAUGGCAUUGCUUAUGGUCUACCUCAUGGUUCCCUGUGUCUGAAAUAGAGGAGAACCCUUGAAAAAACUCAUAAUCUACCUCCCACUGGUGCUCCUGAUUGCUAGGCUUGCCCAAAGUUUCUCAAUAGCUUGUCUCCAACAGGGCCUGAGGACAGUAGCAGCUCCUCUACUAGGUAA